AAAUAUUCAUGAUUUUCAUUAAGUUGGAGGGUUUUCUAUGAAGGUUUCAUGUAAAGAAUGAUUUGUUCCUUCAUAAUAGUACUCUGAGGUGAUUACUAAGAGAGAUGACAUCUAUGGACAGCAUUGAAUAAUCAUAUCCACUUCACAUUCUUGAGAGCAAUUUGUAACAUUAUUUGAGCUACUGCAACAACAUUCUUCUACAAAAAACUUCUCAAAACUCACUUGGCUAACUAGGUUUACAUCAGAACUUGAACUGAAGACAUCACAAAUUCAUAGUAUCAUGCAAUGGUGACCCUACACCAAAGGUAAAGUGAUCAAUUGCAAUCAUAUAUAUAUACCGGCCUAGCUGCACAUUCCUGACACAUGUUAAUCUAGCAGCUUCUGGGCCAUCAGUUGUGACAGGAGCACCAAGAGACCAUGAUCAUAACAAUAUAUAUUUUUUCAAUGAUAAGGCAAAUCUACCACUUACAAAAUCAAGUGGAAUUUCCAACCAUCCAUGGACUCCUCCAUAACCUAGCCAAACCUUUCUUUCUUCCAAAGUGUGGCCUAUGCUGCUAUGCCAGUGGUAGGAUGCCCCAAAUUUUUCUUGCAAAUCUUGAUAGAAAUUUUGAAUGCAGAGAGCAAGAACAGCAAGUGGAAU
rnacentral:lncRNA from 1 species